rnacentral:rRNA from 1 species
UAGGGAAUCUUCGGCAAUGGGGGGAACCCUGACCGAGCAACGCCGCGUGAGUGAAGAAGGUUUUCGGAUCGUAAAGCUCUGUUGUUAAGGAAGAACGAGUGUGAGAAUGGUAAGUUCAUACUGUGACGGUACUUAACCAGAAAGGGACGGCUAACUACGUGCCAGCAGCCGCGGUAAUACGUAGGUCCCGAGUGUUGUCCGGAUUUAUUGGGCGUAAAGCGAGCGCAGGCGGUUAGAUAAGUCUGAAGUUAAAGGCAGUGGCUCAACCAUUGUAGGCUUUGGAAACUGUUUAACUUGAGUGCAGAAGGGGAGAGUGGAAUUCCAUGUGUAGCGGUGAAAUGCGUAGAUAUAUGGAGGAACACCGGUGGCGAAAGCGGCUCUCUGGUCUGUAACUGACGCGGAGGCUCGAAAGCGUGGGGAGCGAACAGG